rnacentral:rRNA from 1 species
GCUCCAGACUCCUACGGGAGGCAGCAGUGGGGAAUAUUGCACAAUGGGGGAAACCCUGAUGCAGCGACGCCGCGUGAGUGAGGAAGUAUUUCGGUAUGUAAAGCUCUAUCAGCAGGGAAGAAAAUGACGGUACCUGACUAAGAAGCCCCGGCUAACUACGUGCCAGCAGCCGCGGGAAUACGUAGGGGGCAAGCGUUAUCCGGAUUUACUGGGUGUAAAGGGAGCGUAGGCGGCUGUGUAAGCCAGAAGUGAAAGCCCGGGGCUCAACUCCGGGACUGCUUUUGGAACUACAUGGCUUGAUUGCAGGAGAGGCAGGCGGAAUUCCUAGUGUAGCGGUGAAAUGCGUAGAUAUUAGGAGGAACACCAGUGGCGAAGGCGGCCUGCUGGACGACAACUGGCGGUGAGGCGCGAAAGCGUGGGGAGCAAACAGGAUUAGAUACCCGGGUAA